GUGCCAGCCGCCGCGGUAAUACGUAGGGCGCGAGCGUUGUCCGGAAUUAUUGGGCGUAAAGAGCUCGUAGGCGGCUUGUCACGUCGGGUGUGAAAGACCGGGGCUUAACUCCGGUUCUGCAUUCGAUACGGGCUAGCUAGAGUGUGGUAGGGGAGAUCGGAAUUCCUGGUGUAGCGGUGAAAUGCGCAGAUAUCAGGAGGAACACCGGUGGCGAAGGCGGAUCUCUGGGCCAUUACUGACGCUGAGGAGCGAAAGCGUGGGGAGCGAACAGGAUUAGAAACCCUUGUAGUCC
rnacentral:rRNA from 1 species